GAUCCUGGCUCAGAUUGAACGCUGGCGGCAUGCCUUACACAUGCAAGUCGAACGGCAGCAUGGAGAGCUUGCUCUCUGAUGGCGAGUGGCGAACGGGUGAGUAAUACAUCGGAACGUGUCCGUUUGUGGGGGACAACCGUCCGAAAGGACGGCUAAUACCGCAUAAGACCUGAAGGUGAAAGCCGGGGACCGCAAGGCCCGGCGCAGACGGAGCGGCCGAUGAUUGAUUAGCUAGUUGGGG
rnacentral:rRNA from 1 species